rnacentral:rRNA from 1 species
CAGUAGCCGCGGGAAUACAGAGGGUGCGAGCGUUAAUCGGAUUUACUGGGCGUAAAGCGUGCGUAGGCGGCUUCUUAAGUCGGAUGUGAAAUCCCUGAGCUUAACUUAGGAAUUGCAUUCGAUACUGGGAAGCUAGAGUAUGGGAGAGGAUGGUAGAAUUCCAGGUGUAGCGGUGAAAUGCGUAGAGAUCUGGAGGAAUACCGAUGGCGAAGGCAGCCAUCUGGCCUAAUACUGACGCUGAGGUACGAAAGCAUGGGGAGCAAACAGGAUUAGAUCCCCCGUAGUCCCUGUCUAUUAUACA